GGCAGUUGACACAAUAAGUAUUCCGCCUGGGGAGUACGAUCGCAAGAUUAAAACUCAAAGGAAUUGACGGGGGCCCGCACAAGCAGCGGAGCAUGUGGUUUAAUUCGAAGCAACGCGAAGAACCUUACCUAGACUUGACAUCCCUUGCAUAACCCAGAGAUGGGUGAAGUCCUUCGGGACAAGGUGACAGGUGGUGCAUGGUUGUCGUCAGCUCGUGUCGUGAGAUGUUGGGUUAAGUCCCGCAACGAGCGCAACCCUUAUCAUUAGUUGCUACCAUUAAGUUGAGCACUCUAGUGAGACUGCCCGGGUUAACCGGGAGGAAGGUGGGGAUGACGUCAAAUCAUCAUGCCCCUUAUGUCUAGGGCUACACACGUGCUACAAUGGUGAGUACAAAGAGAUGCAAGACCGCAAGGUGGACCAAACUCAAAAACUCAUCCCAGUUCGGAUUGUAGGCUGCAACU
rnacentral:rRNA from 1 species